rnacentral:tRNA from 3 species
GACGAGAUAGAGUAAUUGGUAACUUAUCAACUCAUAAUCUGGAGAUGUAUGUUCGAAUCCUGCUUUCGUCA